UAUAUACUCCCUCCGUUCUAAAUUACUUGUCGAAGGAAUUGAUGUAUCUAGACGUAUUUUGAUUCUAAGAUACAUCCAACUUUAUCCAUUUUUGCGACAACUAAUUCCGGACGGAGGGAGUAUUUU
rfam:Triticum aestivum genome assembly, contig: Triticum_aestivum_CS42_TGACv1_scaffold_555997_7AL